CAGUCGCCGCGGUAAGACGAACCGUCCGAACGUUAUUCGGAAUUACUGGGCCUAAAGCGCGUGUAGGCGGGUCGGCACGUCGAACGCUGAAAUCCCGCGGCUCAACCGCGGAACUGGCCCCGAUACGGCCGGCCUGGAGGGGGGUAGGGGGAGCCGGAACUCACGGUGGAGCGGUGAAAUGCGUUGAGAUCGUGAGGAACGCCCGUGGCGAAAGCGGGCUCCUGGACCCCACCUGACGCUGAGACGCGAAAGCCAGGGGAGCGAACGGGAUUAGAUACCCCGGUAUCCCUGUCUCUUAUAC
rnacentral:rRNA from 1 species